rnacentral:rRNA from 1 species
GUAGGUGGCAAGCGUUGUCCGGAAUUAUUGGGCGUAAAGCGCGCGCAGGCGGUUCUUUAAGUCUGAUGUGAAAGCCCACGGCUCAACCGUGGAGGGUCAUUGGAAACUGGAGAACUUGAGUACAGAAGAGGAAAGCGGAAUUCCACGUGUAGCGGUGAAAUGCGUAGAGAUGUGGAGGAACACCAGUGGCGGAGGCGGCUUUCUGGUCUGUAACUGACGCUGAGGCGCGAAAGCGUGGGGGAGCAAACAGGAUUAGAUACCCUGGUAGUCCACGCCGUAAACGAUGAGUGCUAAGUGUUAGGGGGUUUCCGCCCCUUAGUGCUGCAGCUAACGCAUUAAGCACUCCGCCUGGGAGUACGGCCGCAAGGCUG